UUUCAUCGUUGUUUUUGGGCUGGGCCUGACAGAAGAAAGGAACCAGAACCUAAUAAUGAAGCAAACUGAACCAGAGCUCAUUAAACAAAACCCAAUGAUAACACAAUACAGAAAACGAAGUCAAAAGAAGGAGGAUUUCUGUCCUGCAACUUCUCACAGAACUUCAAGAUCUACUCUGAAGGAUUCUCCCAGCCUCCUGAGUUUAUUUUGUUGGGGGAAAGGAAAAGCAGAGAAGGAACAUCCAUUAAAUGAAAGGACUCAUUUAUCCAACAUGGAAUUCUACCCUUUCUGUUUACAAUUUCUGCUGAUUUAGUGAUAUAUCUUGUGAAAAUUUAAAAAAUAAAAGAGAAAAAAAAAGAAU